CCACUGUGCUGGGCAGAGAAGAGAGCGCCCCCUCCUGAGUCAAGCACAUCACUGUGCUCCCAGCCACGGUGCUGGGCUGAGAGAGCAGAGCGCCCCCCACUGAAUCCCUAUAAGCCCAGCCGAUGCCCU